CANUGGGGGAAACCCUGAUGCAGCGACGCCGCGUGAGUGAAGAAGUAUUUCGGUAUGUAAAGCUCUAUCAGCAGGGNAAGAAAAUGACGGUACCUGACUAAGAAGCCCCGGCUAACUACGUGCCAGCAGCCGCGGUAAUACGUAGGGGGCAAGCGUUAUCCGGAUUUACUGGGUGUAAAGGGAGCGUAGACGGUCAAGCAAGUCAGAAGUGAAAGGCUGGGGCUCAACCCCGGGACUGCUUUUGAAACUGUUUAGCUUGAGUGAAGUAGAGGUAGGCGGAAUUCCCGGUGUAGCGGUGAAAUGCGUAGAGAUCGGGAGGAACACCAGUGGCGAAGGCGGCCUACUGGGCUUUAACUGACGCUGAGGCACGAAAGCAUGGGUAGCAAACAGGAUUAGAUACCCUGGUAGUCCAAGGGCGAAUUC
rnacentral:rRNA from 1 species